GGCCUAACACAUGCAAGUCGAGCGGAAACGACACUAACAAUCCUUCGGGUGCGUUAAUGGGCGUCGAGCGGCGGACGGGUGAGUAAUGCCUAGGAAAUUGCCUUGAUGUGGGGGAUAACCAUUGGAAACGAUGGCUAAUACCGCAUAAUGCCUACGGGCCAAAGAGGGGGACCUUCGGGCCUCUCGCGUCAAGAUAUGCCUAGGUGGGAUUAGCUAGUUGGUGAGGUAAUGGCUCACCAAGGCGACGAUCCCUAGCUGGUCUGAGAGGAUGAUCAGCCACACUGGAACUGAGACACGGUCCAGACUCCUACGGGAGGCAGCAGUGGGGAAUAUUGCACAAUGGGCGAAAGCCUGAUGCAGCCAUGCCGCGUGUAUGAAGAAGGCCUUCGGGUUGUAAAGUACUUUCAGUUGUGAGGAAGGGUGUG
rnacentral:rRNA from 1 species